rnacentral:rRNA from 1 species
UACGUAGGGGGCAAGCGUUGUCCGGAUUUAUUGGGCGUAAAGAGCGUGUAGGCGGCUUGACAAGUCUGCUGUGAAAACUCGAGGCUCAACCUCGAGCUGUCGGUGGAAACUGUCUAGCUAGAGUCCGGAAGAGGAGAGUGGAAUUCCUGGUGUAGCGGUGAAAUGCGCAGAUAUCAGGAAGAACACCUAUGGCGAAGGCAGCUCUCUGGGACGGUACUGACGCUGAGACGCGAAAGCGUGGGGAGCAAACAGG